UUCUAAAACUUUUUUUAACCCAAAUCCAAAAUCUUAUUCAAUAGCUGAACCUAAUACAACAUCAAAUGAUGAAGUAUGUAUCUUAGGUAAGCCUAAACCUUAUUGUCAUCGCUGCCGAGUCGACACCCAUGAUAUGAAGGACUGCAAGGCUGAACGUGCCAUUUUCUGUUUCAAGUGUGGAAAGAAGGACGUUCGAACACCAGAAUGCCCCACUUGCAACCCCAAUAUUGCAGAAACUGGUUCAAAAAACUAAAAAGAAAUUGGAUCAGUAAAGAAGCAACUCUUACCACUAGCUUGGAGUGGCAAAAUUGGCUUAUCUUUAUACGCAGCUUCUUUUCUACAUACAAAACUGCUCCAAUUUUUAAUAAUAAUAAGCCAAGUAAAGACCCUAGACCAUACAUAAAAGUAAAUAUUAACAAUAUCAAGGACCUCGAUAUUUACGGUCUCCUUGACUCAGGUUCUGUUAUAAGCAUCCUUGGAAAUGACUCUCACAAGAAGCUAGUAAAUUAUAAUUUUACUUUACAUACUGACAAUAUUUUAUCAGUCACCGCAGCUGGUGGCCAAGUACUAACUUCCCGUGGCUACAUUCUUUUGCCAAUCAUAUUCGAUGGACAAUAUAAUAUAAUUAAGACCCACGUUAUCCCUGAAAUCGACUCGGCAUUGAUCCUCGGUAUUGACUUUUGGAAACAAUUCAAAAUUUUUCCUGAUCACCUAAAAAAUAUAAGUUAUUUUAACAAUAGCGAUCCUACUUUGCAUGAAAUAUCAGGCGAACCUAAACUUCUUUUACACUCUUAUGAUAAUCUUGAUAUAGAAGAAAGAAGGGUUGCUGACAAGUUGGUAAGCGAUUUUAAAAAGAUUUCUUUCGAGGAACGAGGUUUGGGUCGGACAAGUUUAAUUACACAUAGUAUUGAUACAGGUGAUGCGGAGCCAAUACGACAAAGGUAUUACCGCAUGUCACCUGAAAAGCAAAGGAUUGUAAUUGAACAAGUAGACGAAAUGCUUUCCCUUGACGUCAUUGAGCCCUGUGAAAGUCCUUGGUUAUCUCCGGUAUUAGUAGUUACUAAAAAGGACGGCAAGCCCCGUUUUUGUUUGGACAGUAGGAAACUGAAUUCAGUUACAAAGAAGGAUGCCUACUGCCUUCCUUAUGUCUCAGAGAUUCUCGACAAUCUGAAAGAUGCUAGGUAUUUGUCCAGUAUUGAUUUAUCAAAAAGUUUCUGGCAAAUACCUAUAAAAAAGGAGCAUCGGGAAAAGACAGCCUUCUAUGUACCAGGAAGAGGAACCUUUCAGUUUAAAGUCACUGCUUUUGGCUUGACUAAUGCCCCAGCUACUCAGCAACGCCUUGUGGACUCCUUGUUUGGACCUGAAUUUGAAUCUAACGUAUUUGUUUUCGUAGAUGACGUCAUAAUUAUAAGUAGAACAUUUGAGGAACACUUAUCUCUUCUAUCGCGUGUUCUGCAAAAACUUAGUAAUGCAAACCUAACAAUAAAUUUGAGUAAGUGUCAGUUCUUCCGCAAUCAUUUACGUUACCUUGGUUAUGUGGUCGACGACAAAGGCUUACGAACCGAUCCUGAAAAGAUUGAGGCUAUCCUCAAUUACCCUAUCCCCAAAAAUAAAAAAGACGUGAAGCGUUUUCUAGGUACGGCUUCCUGGUAUAGACGAUUUAUACCAAACUUUAGUUCUAUUGCUGGUCCCUUAAAUAAGUUAACCUCAACCAAAAAGACUUCUCCACCGUUUGAAUGGUCUGAUGAAGCAGAUAAAGCAUUUCUUAAACUUAAAUCACUCUUGGUACAAGCCCCUAUCCUAGCAUGUCCUAAUUUUAAUCAUCCAUUCGAGGUUCACACCGACGCAAGCAACUUCGGUGUAGGAGCCAUGCUUUCUCAAACAAUAGACGGGGUUGAACACCCGGUUGCGUAUAUGAGCAAAUCUCUUACUGGCCCUGAACGAAAUUACAGUGUGACUGAGAGAGAGGCACUCGCUGUCCUAACAGCUCUCGAACACUGGCGUUGUUAUUUGGAGAAUGGAAGAACUUUCACAGUUUUUACAGACCACUCGGCCCUUAAAUGGUUUCUGUCCAUCUCCAACCCGACCGGUCGUUUGGCAAGAUGGGGAGUGCGUCUGUCUUCUUUCGACUUUGUUAUUAAGCAUCGCAAGGGCAAAGAACAUCUUGUCCCAGACCUUUUGUCAAGAUCAGUUCCGGUCGCCUUGGUAUCCACUUCACAGGAUUCGCCUGCAAGUCAAGAUUCAUGGUACUUAAAUAUUUAUAAUGGCUGCAAAGUUUCACCUACCAGUUACCCUAACUAUCGCUUGGAAAACGGUAAACUUUAUAGAUACAUGCGUAACAAGAACUCACUUACUGCAGAAUUUGACUGGAAGGAAGUAAUACCAAAAGAAGAUCGAGACGAAACUAUAAAACUUAAUCACUCUGAACCCACAUGCGGGCACUUUGGUAUAUUUAAAACUUUCAAAAGAUUAUGUCUUAAAUAUUAUUGGCCUAAAAUGCAUAGCAAUGUUGCGAGUUUCAUCUCCAAUUGCGAUAUCUGUCAUGCAUAUAAAUUAUCUACACAAGGCACACUUGGUAAAAUGGGCAGACCCAAGGAGUGCUGCCGACCAUUUCAAUCGAUCUCGAUUGAUUUGGUUGGACCCUUACCACCUUCCAGGAAACAACACAGCUACUUAUUUGUUGUUACUUGUUGCUUUUCCAAAUAUUGUUUGUUGUUUCCAUUGAGACGAGCUACUGCUGAACUCGUGACCAAACAUUUGGAAGACUUUGUGUUUCUUGUUCAUGGUGUCCCACAAACCGUAAUCCUUGAUAAUGGCAUACAAUUCACUAGUCGUGAGCUAGACAAAUUAUUCAAAGUGUACAAGAUUCCAAACGUUAACUUCACACCAAAGUAUACCCCUCAAGUCAACACUGUGGAAAGGUACAACAAGACUAUAAUGACAGCUGUAUCUUCCUUCGUAAACGACGACCAUCGUUCUUGGGAUCUGAAUCUGCCAAAAAUUCAGUUCGCAAUCAACACUUCAAUAAACGAAACAACAGGUUAUACUCCAGCUUUUCUCGUUCACGGGAGGGAAUUAGUAACUUGCGGGUCUCAUUACAUUGAGAAUGACAUCCCAAAUGAGUUAAUUUUCGCUCCUCGAGAAAUUUAUGCUGAAAACUUAGGAUAUCUCUCUAAUAUUUUUAACAAGGUACAAAAAGCACUAUGGAACGCUCACGAAAAGAAUUCUCAGCGUUAUAACUUAAGGCGUAAGGAAGCAGAAUAUCAUGUCGGUGACAUAGUUUGGAAGCGUACUUACUUCCAAAGUGACAAAGAUGCUUAUUAUGCUAAAAAGCUCACUCCUAAAUAUGUUAAAUGUAAAAUUAUUCAAAAACGUUCACCACUCGUUUACGUUUUGGAGGAUAUGGUUGGUCGUAACUUAGGAGCUUGGCAUAUCAAAGACUUAAAAUCAAACAUUUAUAAAUCACAUUAAAAGCGAAUCAUAAACGGAUUAGUUUUCUUAUUAUUGCGGAUUUUGCAUAAGGCAAAAUCCUUUCUUUCGAAAGGGGGUACUGUAACGUAUACAAUCCACAUAAACUUAACUUAUUUAUUAUUUACAUAUUAUACUACACAAUUAUUAUAAUGAAUCUUAACCUACUAUUAUUAAAUACAAAUGCUUUAUAAAUAAAAACUUAAAACUAUAAAUAUAAAUAAAAAUGAAUAAAAACUUAACACUAACUAAAUAAACAAACUGACAACGCAGUUCGGUUUCUAUGUAGUGAUUAAUAUUUUCUGCGCGCGGGUAACCGGUCCAAGCGCGAGCGCCGGGCGGCCAUGUCUAGGCGCGAGCCGAAGAUUCAAUAGAACGCGAACGGCGACCAUUAGCUCUCAACCUUUUGAUACGGCCUAAUGUGCGUACGCUCUGCGCGCCGCACAAUAUUUUCGUGUCAGUUUACUUACUUGAUUGAUACUGAUAGAAAUCAUUAUUUUGUAUUUGUAAAAUACUUGCACUUCAAAAUAAAUAAUAAGUGAAGUGAAACAAAUAUUUUCCCGUAUUGGGAUCACCCUGCGGGUUCUUGGAUGGCGAAGACCUGGAGGCGCACUCGGAAGCACAACCUUAACUGGGACUGGAAGCCCGAGGGGAGUAAGGAGUGUGUAAAGUGUCACGGCUGCGGAUCUAAGACCAGACCCUACCCUGAGAUAGCUUAAAUAAAUUCUUAGUUUGUUUUCCUCAUA